AGAUUGAACGCUGGCGGCGUGCUUAACACAUGCAAGUCGAGCGGUAACGCGGGAGCAAUCCUGGCGACGAGCGGCGAACGGGUGAGUAAUGCUUGGGAAUCUGCCCAUUAGUGGGGAACAACCAGCCGAAAGGUUGGCUAAUACCGCAUACGCCCUACGGGGGAAAGCGGGGGAUCGAAAGACCUCGCGCUAAUGGAUGAGCCCAAGUCGGAUUAGCUUGUUGGUAGGGUAACGGCCUACCAAGGCGACAAUCCGUAGCUGGUCUGAGAGGACGACCAGCCACACUGGGACUGAGACACGGCCCAGACUCCUACGGGAGGCAGCAGUGGGGGAAUAUUGGACAAUGGGGGCAACCCUGAUCCAGCGACGCCGCGUGUGUGAAGAAGGCCUGCGGGUUGUAAAGCACUUUUAGUGGGAUGAAAGCUCAGGGUUAACACCUCUGGGUCUUGACCUAACCCACAGAAAAGCACCGGCUAACUCUGCGCCAGCAGCCGC
rnacentral:rRNA from 1 species